rnacentral:rRNA from 1 species
ACAGCAGCCGCCACGGUAAUACAGAGGGUGCGAGCGUUAAUCGGAUUUACUGGGCGUAAAGCGUGCGUAGGCGGCUAAUUGAGUCGGAUGUGAAAUCCCCGAGCUUAACUUGGGAAUUGCAUUCGAUACUGGUUAGCUAGAGUGUGGGAGAGGAUGGUAGAAUUCCAGGUGUAGCGGUGAAAUGCGUAGAGAUCUGGAGGAAUACCGAUGGCGAAGGCAGCCAUCUGGCCUAACACUGACGCUGAGGUACGAAAGCAUGGGGAGCAAACAGGAUUAGAUACCCCCGUAGUCCCUGUCUCUUAUAC